rnacentral:rRNA from 1 species
CCUACGGGAGGCAGCAGUGGGGAAUAUUGCACAAUGGGGGAAACCCUGAUGCAGCGACGCCGCGUGAGUGAAGAAGGAUUUCGGUAUGUAAAGCUCUAUCAGCAGGGAAGAAAAUGACGGUACCUGAGUAAGAAGCCCCGGCUAACGACGUGCCAGCAGCCGCGGUAAUACGUAGGGGGCAAGCGUGAUCCGGAUUUACUGGGUGUAAAGGGAGCGGAGACGGCAGCACAAGUCUGGAGUGAACUGCCGGGGCUUAACCCCGGAACUGCUUUGGAAACUGUGCAGCUAGAGUGCAGGAGAGGUCAGUGGCAUUCCUCGUGUAGCGGUGACAUGCGUAGAUAUUAGGAGGAACACCAGUGGCGACGGCGGCUUACUGUACUGUACCUGACGUUGUGGCUCGACCGCGUGGGGAGCAAACAGGAUUAGAUACCCGUGUAGUC